rnacentral:lncRNA from 1 species
ACCACGUUGGUUGUAGUGAAUGCACCUUGCAGUAAGGCGGUAUUUGAGUUAUAUUUUAGAAGUGCCUAGACAAAAUCUGCUCCUUGUCGUGUGCAGUAACCAUCGCAAACCCUCCGGACUUGUGUAACGCCGUUAGUUCGCCGUGUGUUUCGUGCGAUCUACCAGUGUCGACAGUGAGUGUCUUACUACAGCGCCCGUCCGAGCUGCCUUUGUUCUGCCGAGCUGCCUGCCCGCGCUCUCGUGAAAAGUCUGGUACUGGAGCUUCGAAUCGUAGUGUAUGGAAGACUGUUGAAGGUUGUGCUUUUGUGGAGCUGGAGUUCAUCGGAAGUUCUACAGUGCUUGCGCCAGAAAAACGUCGGUGCCUCGGUACCUUUGAGACGAAGGAGCGUUGGCCAAGUCUUUUUGAAAGGCUAUGCGGAUUCUGGAGGCAUCCCUACAUCAAGCAGGAACCUGCUGCACUGCUGGAAGCUGGACAGCACGACAAUAAAGCACGUGAUCUGUGUGCUUUCUCAAAGGUAGACAUCGGCGACGGUGUAUAUGUUGAAAAGUGCCUGCUGAAGAGGCUGCGCCUGGAUGCUAACAACUCAGGCUUUCAGUUCGCGGGGGGCCUCCUUAAGGCUCCUUUUACAAAA